AUUGUUAGCUCAGUUGGUAGAGCAACUGACUCUUAAUCAGUGGGUCUAGGGUUCGAAUCCCU
rnacentral:tRNA from 2 species